rnacentral:rRNA from 1 species
UACGUAGGGUGCAAGCGUUAAUCGGAAUGACUGGGCGUAAAGGGCGCGUAGGCGGAUGGCACAGUCAGAUGUGAAAUUCCCGGGCUUAACCUGGGGGCUGCAUUUGAUACGUGUUGUCUAGAGUGAGGAAGAGGGUCGUGGAAUUCCCAGUGUAGAGGUGAAAUUCGUAGAUAUUGGGAAGAACACCGGUGGCGAAGGCGGCGACCUGGUCCUUGACUGACGCUGAGGCGCGAAAGCGUGGGGAGCAAACAGG